AGCAGCCGCGGUAAUUCCAGCUCCAAUAGCGUAUAUUAAAGUUGUUGCAGUUAAAAAGCUCGUAGUUGAAUUUCGGGAUCAGUACGCCGGUCGUGCCUUCGGUAUGCACUGGUGUCACUGGUUUCUCCCUUCUGAAGAACCAUCAUGCCAUUCAGUUGGUGUGGCGGGGAAUCAGGACUGUUACUUUGAAAAAUUAGAGUGUUUAAAGCAGGCUCGCGCUUGAAUACAUUAGCAUGGAAUAAUGAAAUAGGACGUUUGACCCUAUUUUGUUGGUUUCUAGGAUCGACGUAAUGAUUAAUAGGGAUAGUUGGGGGCAUUAGUAUUCAAUUGUCAGAGGUGAAAUUCUUGGAUUUAUUGAAGACUAACUACUGCGAAAGCAUUUGCCAAGGAUGUUUCCAUUAAUCAAGAACGAAAGUUAGGGGAUCGAAGACGAUCAGAUACCGUCGUAGUCUUAACCAUAAACUAUGCCGACUAGGGAUCGGAUGAUGUUAAUUUUUAAUGUACUCGUUCGGCGUACCG
rnacentral:rRNA from 1 species